rnacentral:lncRNA from 1 species
GAUGUUAGCAGACCCAUCUUAGAGUUCUUGUUUCUUUCUUAAGCCCUUUGCUCUGGAGGAAGUUCUCCAGCUUCAGCUCAACUCACAGCUUCUCCAAGCAUCACCCUGGGAGUGUCCUGAGAGUUUUCUCAUAAAUGAGGGCUGCACGUUGCCUGUUCUGCUUCAAAGUAUUUAAUACGGCUCAGUAUUUUAAAUGAAGUGAUUCUAACUUGUGAUUUCGUUUGGGAUCAAUAGGAAAGCAUAUGCAGCCAACCAAGAUGCAAAUGUUUUGAAAUGAUAUGACUAAAAUUUUAAGUAGGAAAGUCACCCAAACACUUCUGCUUUCACUUAAGUGUCUGGCCCGCAAUACUGUAGGAACAAGCAUGACCUUGUUACUGUGAGAUUUAAAAUAUCCACAGUAUUCACUUUUUCCAAAUGAUCCUAGUAAUUGCCUAGAAAUAUCUUUCUCUUACCUGUUAUUUACUUAGUAUGCAGUUGAUAAGAGGAAUUUGGUAUAAUUAUGGUGGGUGAUUAUUUUUUAUACUGUAUGUGCCAAAGCUUUACUACUGUGGAAAGACAGCUGUUUUAAUAAAAGAUUUACAUUCCACAAAA